GGUUCUCGUCUGAUCACUGAAGUUAAGCAACGUCGAGCCUGGUCAGUACCUGGAUGGAUAACCGCUUGGAAAUACCAGGUUCUGG